CUUCUUCAUCAUCGGAUAGGCGACGGUGCCGAUCAUCACGGUCGUGGCGACGCCCGAUCCUGACGGUCCGCCGAGCAGGAACGACGACAGCACCACGGUGCGUCCGGCACUGUUCGGCUUGCCGCCCAUCAGCGCCAGCGAGAAGUCGAUGAAGAAUUUUCCGGCGCCCGACUGCUGAAGAAACGCGCCGAAGAUCGUGAACAGGAUGAUCAGCGUUGCCGACACAUCCACGGCGACGCCGAAGAUGCCUUCCAGCGUGAUGAACAGAUGCCCGACAAGCCGUGACAGGUCAUAGC
rnacentral:misc_RNA from 1 species